GUUGCCCAAAAACCUCGUUUGGGUGUUUCUGUAAGAUGGUAUAGAAAAACCCAAAAGAACUUUUGGCCAACCCA
rnacentral:miRNA from 1 species